rnacentral:rRNA from 1 species
UACGAAGGGGGCGAGCGUUGUUCGAAAUUACUGGGCGUAAAGCGCACGUAGGCGGGUCCUUAAGUCAGGGGUGAAAUCCCGAGGCUCAACCUCGGAACUGCCUUUGAUACUGGGGAUAUCGAGUCCGGGAGAGGUGAGUGGAACUGCGAGUGUAGAGGUGAAAUUCGUAGAUAUUCGCAAGAACACCAGUGGCGAAGGCGGCUCACUGGCCCGGUACUGACGCUGAGGUGCGAAAGCGUGGGGAGCAAACAGG